rnacentral:rRNA from 1 species
GUUGGGAAUCUUGCACAAUGGGGGAAACCCUGAUGCAGCGACGCCGCGUGGAGGAUGAAGGAUCUAGGUCUGUAAACUCCUUUUAUCGGGAAAGACUUAGGACGGUACCCGAUGAAUAAGGACCGGCUAACUACGUGCCAGCAGCCGCGGUAAGACGUAGGGUCCAAGCGUUGUCCGGAUUUACUGGGCGUAAAGAGCGCGUAGGCGGUCUGUUAAGUGUGAAGUGAAAUCUCCAGGGCUCAACCCGGAAACCGCUUCGCAUACUGGCAGACUGGAGGGAUGCAGAGGUGAGUGGAAUUCCUGGUGUACCGGUGAAAUGGGUAGAUAUCAGGAGGAACACCCAUGGCGAAGGCAGCUCACUGGGCAUCUCCUGACGCUGAGGCGCGAAAGUGUGGGUAGCAAACAGGAUUAGAAACCCCAGUAGUCC